rnacentral:rRNA from 1 species
AGUGAACGCUGGCGGUAGGCCUAACACGUGCAAGUCGAACGGCAGCACAGUAAGAGCUUGCUCUUACGGGUGGCGAGUGGCGGACGGGUGAGGAAUACAUCGGAAUCUACUUUUUCGUGGGGGAUAACGUAGGGAAACUUACGCUAAUACCGCAUACGACCUACGGGUGAAAGCAGGGGAUCUUCGGACCUUGCGCGAUUGAAUGAGCCGAUGUCGGAUUAGCUAGUUGGCGGGGUAAAGGCCCACCAAGGCGACGAUGCGUAGCUGGUCUGAGAGGAUGAUCAGCCACACUGGAACUGAGACACGGUCCAGACUCCUACGGGAGGCAGCAGUGGGGAAUCUUGGACAAUGGGCGAAAGCCUGAUCCAGCCAUGCCGCGUGAGUGAAGAAGGUCUUCGGGUUGUAAAGCCCUUUUGUUAGGAAAGAAAAGCAGCAGGUUAAUACCCCGCUGUUCUGACGGUACCUAAAGAAUAAGCACCGGCUAACUUCGUG